rnacentral:rRNA from 1 species
UACGUAGGGGGCGAGCGUUGUCCGGAUUCACUGGGCGUAAAGGACGCGCAGGCGGCCCGAGGGGUCUGUCGUUAAAGCCCGGGGCUCAACCCCGGGUGGUCGGCGGAGACCGGCGGGCUUGGAGGCCGGUAGAGGGAUGCGGAAUUCCCGGUGUAGUGGUGAAAUGCGUAGAGAUUGGGAGGAACACCAGAGGCGAAAGCGGCAUCCUGGGCCGGGCCUGACGCUGAGGCGUGAAAGCGUGGGGAGCGAACCGG